rnacentral:lncRNA from 1 species
UGUUAGGAUAAAGUAAGACUGCUUAUUCCAAGUUCAGGUAUAAGUAAGAAUUAGACUAACUUUGUGUUUGGAUGAAAAUUAAGUUGUUCCUGAAAAUUUAAAAAAAAAAUAGUAUUUGGAUAGAUAAAAUAGAAUAAGAAAAAUAGUAGAUAGUUUAUAAAUGAAAAAUAAUAACAUUAUCCCUCUCAUUAUAUUUAAAUUUGAAUUUUUAAAUUUUACAUUUAUAAUUUUAAAUUUAAGAUCAAAUUUAAAUUUGAAAAAUAUAAACUAUCAAAUUUUAAAAAUUUAAAAUAUCAAAUUUAAAAUUUAAACUUUAAAAUUUUAAAUUAUAAAUUUUAAUUUUGAGAUUGCAAAUUUUAAAUUUUAA